UCGAAAUGAACACGGAGUUCGGUUGUAGCUGGCCUGCAAAGGCAUGUGCACGCCUUUCUCUUUCGUCCACACACCCCUGUGCACUUGUGAGACGGAGGCUUGUCGUUCCCCUUUCAAUAGGGGGAUUGGGUUUCCGUCUGCCUUCAUACAAACACAUUUAUUUAAUUGGAAUGUAAUUGAUGUAACGCGUCUAUAUAC
rnacentral:misc_RNA from 1 species